AUAUACACACCCUAACCUUCUAGAUCAUCAACCAGUAACCCUUAUAAAUAUGCAAUGUGUUUUAUUGUCAUUUCUCUGCAUGUUAAAGUGAAAAAAUUCAACCAAGUGCAGGUAAACGAUGGGAUUAACUAUGACUAUCUUAAGGUAGCCAGAUGCCUCAUAAUCCAAUUACUGAUGCACAUGAAUGUAUCAUUAAUGAUAUUCUCCACUAUCCCUAGCUAUCGUAUUCUAGAGAAACCACAUCCAAGGGAAUGGGCAUGGAAGAAUUAGAAGGGAAAUAAUACCCUCAUGUUGAGCUUGACUAUAGUCCUAACCCAUUCAUAGUUUGGGAAAAUUAGGCAUAGAUUGGGAAAAUUUGUCUUUUUUAUUCAAAUUGGU
rnacentral:ncRNA from 1 species